rnacentral:sRNA from 1 species
UAUGCGUAAACAAAAGCUUGCAUCGUGCC